GCUUAUCUCUCAUAGAAUAACCCAUCCCAACAAAUAACCAACCCAACAGAUCCAGCAGAUACAACAAUCAUAUGUACACAAUGCAAUAAGAUAAAGCAGAUAAAUGCUGAAAGUAAAUAACUGUACAAAAGAAUAAACACCCAACAAAUAAGAAAUCUCAAAAGCUAGGAGGGACUCGCAUAGGGAAACCGGUUCCCCAGCAGAGUCGCCAGCUGUCGCAACUACGAAAAACAACCGUCAAAAAGAGAAAAC
rnacentral:lncRNA from 1 species